AUGCGAAUCUCGAAAGCCUGUCUCAGUUCGGAUUGGAGGCUGAAACCCGCCUCCAUGAAGUUGGAUUCGCUAGUAAUCGCGCAUCAGCCAUGGCGCGGUGAAUACGUUCCCGGGCCUUGUACACACCGCCCGUCACACCAUGGAAGUCUGCAAUGCCCGAAGCCGGUGGCCUAACCACUUAUGUGGAAGGAGCCGUCUAAGGCAGGGCAGAUGACUGGGGUGAAGUCGUAACAAGGUAUC
rnacentral:rRNA from 1 species